UUGUCCCCCACCCCCUCCACUUUUCCACAUUCUUCUCCCUUUGCGCCACCUCCCGCAGAGGGUGUCAGAAACGCCCGGGCUGAAGGCCCAGCUGAGGUUGGCCGGAAUUUUCCUCCAGAUGCCCUGUCUGAGAUGUUGAAAGAAAAGAGGGCAGCGGGAGCCCUUCCCAGCGUGCGUACGGAUGCGCAGCAGGCUGGUCUGAAGUCGGUUUCCCGGUCCUCACCCUGGGAGCCUCGGCGUGGAGGCCGGUGAUUUCAAACGGGCAACGCGGAGCGCCCACGCGGGCGGGCCGUGGGUACGGAAUCGAGGAGCGGCGAGAGUGGCUCAUCCACUCGGCUUUGGGAAGCAACUGUGAGCCACGGUAUUCAUUCCUUCGAUCACUCGCUGCGGAAGCAUGCGUCGGGCCUCUACUCUGGGCCAGGGGUGGGUGGAUGGCUGGGGAUGCCACAGCCCUACGAUCGGAGGGGCCAGAGACCCACACAGCUGCACUGUCCUGCGAAAGCCUCGUGUGGGGAUCCGUCAAAUGUAUCAUCUAGGGAGGCAUGUGAACACUACAACUCCUGGAGGUUUCUCUCCAAUGUAAAGUGUGCCGCAUUCUGGCUUCACUCAGGAGCCCCGCGGGGCCCGAGCGCGGCCGGGGUGAGGCCUCUUCUCAUUUCUGCCGAUUUUGUUGUUUAUGGGGACCCAUCUGCCAUCUCCACGGGGUUGUGUUAGAGACAUGCCUUCACUACUUUUGCCAUUGUUUUUUUUCCUCCCUUAUGAACACACACGGUCAUUCUAGAAAAUGUAGAAAAAAGGGAAUAAUCCCACUCGCAGGGCUCCA